AAAUGAAAAUAUUUUCAAGUAUAAUUUAUGCAUAUAUAUUAUGCAACAUAAUAACAGUAAUAAAUAUUUUACAUUACUGUUUUUUAUACGUACUUAAAAAGGGUGUUAUUAAUAUAAAAUAUAAGAAUACUAUAGAGAAUAACAUAAUCCAAGCUAACAACUCGAAUGUAAAUUUUUUGUUUGACAUAAAGCAUUACUUUUAUUCAACUAAAAACGACACCCUCUCCUAUUUAUUUGAUAAUAAUUACACUAAUGAUACAAAAAAAAAAAAAAAAACAAUUGCUCAAUUAAGUUUAUUUUCAGUACACUUUUCUCUUUUAUUUGUUAAAAAAGGAGUUAGUUUAUUUUUAAAAAAUGUAUUUUUUUAUAUUUAUGAUUGUUACCAAAAAAUAAAAAAAAGUAUUUUUUUUUUACUAUGUUUAAAAACUAAAAAUAAAAUACAAUAUUAUAAACCUCGUUUUCUGUUUGUUGGUGCUAAUAAUGUCAUAAAUAACGAAGAGUUGUACUUUCCUGACCAAUCGGAUAAUCAGUUUGUUAGUGCCACAGAAAGCAUAACGAUAAAUGAGCAAAGCAAUGAAAAUGCGUUAAUUAACAAAUUGUAUAGUAAACAUGUUGCAACUGACAAAUUGACAUUCACAUAUGAAAAUUGGAAAAAAAAGAAAGAAGCAGCCAAGAGCUUAAACAAAUAUGAUGACUCCCAAAAGAAACACCUAACAAAAGUACUAUUAUACGAACAAAAAGAACAUAAAAAAAUUACACAUAGAAAAGAAACGACUAAUUUAAAUAAUAAUACAUAUACAUAUAAUAUUUUAAAUAGACAGAAGUUAAUACAUAAUAAAUACUAUUUGACAAAAAAAAUACAAAACAUAAAAAAAAAAAGAUAUAAUGACAUAUAUAGCACUGUAAGUAUCAUAUAUGUAUCAGAAAAUGAAAUGAAAACACAAAAUCAUAAAACAAAGUCGGUUAUAAAUGGAGUACAUGUUGAAAAAAAUGAAAAUAUACAAUGUAAAAAUUGUAUGGUUAGUGCUAAGCAGUCAUUAUAUGCGUUAAAAGUAAAAAAUGAGCGUAGUAUCGUCAUAAGUUCGUCUAGUGACAUUCAGGUUUAUUAUAAUUAUGAGUUAAUGCGUUGUGAAAACAGAAAUCAACCAUGUAAUCAAACAUAUCCGUGCCGCUAUAAAACAUACCCAUGCCUUGAUAAAAAACGUUCACACUAUGGGAAUUACAUGAUACAAUAUGAAAAUAGACUAACACGGUAUAGAAAGAAGAAACCUACAUACCAACUAAGCAGGUACUAUCCGAAAAUUCAAGACUACACAUUAAAAAACAAACUAGGUAAAGGUAACUAUGGAGAAAUAUGGUAUGCAAUAAAUGUAAAAAAUAAACAUCUUAUUAAAAAUGUUGUAUUAAAAAAAAUAUUAAUAAAUAAAGAUGAAGAAACAGCAGAAAAAAAUGCCAUGAGGGAAGUUUAUUUUGGUGAACUACUCAAAUAUUGUGAUAAUAUAAGUCGCUUCAUUGAAUAUUUUAAAGAAUAUGAAGUGGAUGAAAACAAAGAAGAACAUUUAUAUGUAUGGCUUGUUUUUGCAAAUGAAGGAUAUGCUUUAUCUAGUCAUCUAUUUGAUAUAGAUAAUGAAAAAAAUUCUGCUUUAGUUACACCUAGUAUAUUGUGGUGGAGCAUAAAAAAACAAAACAUAGGUAUGUUAGUAUUAAAAGAUAUUAUAAAACAAAUUUUAAAUGGUAUAAGUAUUGCUCAUUCGAAAAAAAUAACACACAGAGAUAUAAAAAUGGAAAAUAUAUUUCUCUCAGCUACUACCCCAUAUUCUGUACGUAUAGGAGAUUGGGGUAGUGCUGUUCAAUAUGACAAUGACCAUUUUAUGUAUACUCCAACAAAAGAUGAAGAAACAUAUGGUUACCAACCUCCAGAAUCUUUAUUUGGACAUAUGAAAAGUAAUUAUAUGCGCUUACCAUAUUAUGACAUAUGGUGUAUUGGGAUAAUUUUUUUACAAUUUGUGUUAGGUACGAAAUAUCCAUUAGAAGUAAAAAAUAAAAGAGAUGAAAAUAAAAUUAAAAAUAUUUAUGCUAAGUAUUCAAAAAGUGCUUUAAAUAAAGCCAUAUUCAUACAAAGUUUAUAUGAAUUGUGUUUAUUACCAUGGAGUUACUCUUCAAAUAUUAUUAUUCCGCUACAUGAUUAUAAACACUCAAACGAUUCAUCUUCUAUUUAUAAUAAUAAUAUAAUUAUAAACAAAUUAACACAUUAUAUUUUUGAUAACAAUAAUCUUGUAUUUGUAAAAAAAUAUAUAUCUGAUUUUCACAUUAAUAGUUAUAACUUUCUUAUGUCUAUCCCUACAUCAGCUACAUGUCCAGAUUGGGGAUGUGUAAGCACAUACAAACAUCAACAGUUCCCAUACAUAUACAAUGAUUAUUUUGUUAAUAAUAUUUAUAAUAAAGGAAUAAGCAAAGUAUACAAAUACAAAGAUCAUAUAAAACAAGAACAAUUUUCAUAUCAAAGAAAAUGUACAGAUGAACAUUUUCAGAGUAUAUUACAAGAAAGAGAUCCAUCAGGAGUUGGACUUCCUAAUCAAAAUGCUCGAAACUUACUUCGACGUUUACUCGAUUUUGACUAUGCUACACGUAUAACUGCUGAGGAGGCUCUUAAUCAUCCAUGGUUUGCAGAACCAUAA
ensembl:lncRNA